rnacentral:lncRNA from 1 species
AUUGCCCAGAGCAAAUUCUUAUGGGCCUCGCUCUCUUGGAAGUAUUUCCAUGGCUAUACCUGUCACCAUACAAACACGUGUACUUUUCCUUCAAGCUCAGUGUAUAGAGGUUAUCUUCCUCUGAGACAGUGAAGUGGAAUUUUACCAGAAGGAAUGAUAAUAUCCUAACCCCAUUCUGAGACUUUUAGGAUAAGGGGCGGAGGGUUUUCUUUUGCAACUUCCUUUGAGGGGCAAGAUAAAUUUUGAAGUAGGUGGAGAGCAAGCAUUUGCUUCAAUAAAGGCAGCCAAAACUAACCUUCCACUAAAUAUUUUGAAUCCUCUCUCCAUUGCUGGCACUUCAUAAGAGGUAGCGGUCAAAAAUGUCGAGGAAGUUCUCCAUCCUCUCAGCUCUGUCUCUGGUUCUGAUUUUGAUUAUACAAGGAGCAUCUCUUGCCCCUGUGACCCAAGAGCCAACCACAGAGCCAAGUGAAGUGACACCUUCUGAUCCAAGUGAAGAAAGUGGAAAAGAGCUAAAUGCUGAACCAAGCUCAGAACCAAGUAAGGAGCCAAGUACAGACUCAGCUGAGGAGCCCAGCAUAGAACCAGCUGAAGCCAGUGGGGAACCCAGUGGGGAACCCAGUGGAGAAUUCAGUGGAGAACCUAGUGGAGAACCCAGUGAAGAAGCUAGUGGAGAAGCUAGCGGAGAAGCUAGUGGAGAAGCUAGCGGAGAAGCUAGCGGAGAAGCUAGUUGGGAACCCAGCGGAGAACCCAGUGGAGAAGCUAGUGGUGAACCCAGUGGAGAAGAAGAAUUACACAUUGAAUUAAGUGCGGAGCCAAGUGAAGAACCAAAUGCAGAGUCAAGUGAACAGCCAACUGAGCUGCCCAGCACAGAAACAACCGGGGAGCCGAGCCUAGAAUUCCUGCUCUUCCCAGAUAUAUUGCCAAGCGAAGAAUCACAUGGAGAUGAAAGCAAAGAGACCAGCACGGAAUCAGCCUUAGAACUAACUACUCAGCGAACAGAGAUUUUUGAGUAAAAAGUUAUUCAAGAAGCCACUUGCAGUGAUGUCUUCCUGAUCAUGUCUUGAUUGAAGCAGCUCUCCAGCCAAUGGGGAUUUACCAGGAUUCUCUUUAGUUUUGAAGCCAGCAGACCUUAUAGAAUUAAUUGUUUGGGUUUCAGUGAAACUCAGAUUAGUCCCAGUGGUUUGCUCCUCCUCCCACUUCCAUUUUAUUUCAUUUUGUUAUUUAUUAAACUGUGAUACAUCAGACAGCUCAGAGUUGGCUUGUAGCAGUUACACUGUGUUAUGGCAACUAUCCGUUUCCCUUUGUUAUUCCCACCUCCUGCUAGGGAUGAGUUCUCUUUAUGUAAGAACUCUCCCCUCACUGGCUAAAUAAAAUAAAGGAACGACAUUAUGAACUACA